rnacentral:rRNA from 1 species
UCGGGAAUUUUGGGCAAUGGGCGAAAGCCUGACCCAGCAACGCCGCGUGAGGGAUGAAGAAUUUCGGUAUGUAAACCUCGAAAGAAUGGGAAGAAUAAAUGACGGUACCAUUUAUAAGCUCCGGCUAACUACGUGCCAGCAGCCGCGGUAAUACGUAGGGAGCAAGCGUUGUUCGGAUUUACUGGGCAUAAAGGGCGCGUAGGCGGCGCGGUAAGUCACUUGUGAAAUCUCUGAGCUUAACUCGGAAAGGCCAAGUGAUACUGCUGUGCUAGAGUGCGGAAGAGGCAACCGGAAUUCUUGGUGUAGCGGUGAAAUGCGUAGAUAUCAAGAGGAACACCUGAGGCGAAGGCGGGUUGCUGGGCCGACACUGACGCUGAUGCGCGAAAGCCAGGGGAGCAAACG